CGUAGAUCAAACAUCCGCGAGCAAAUCUCCGUCUCGCGUGAGCAAAAGACCGUCUCGCGCGAGAUAUUUGCUCGCUCGCGAAACGUGAACUUCCUCGCUCGCGAGGUUAAUCUCUGCUCGCUCGAAGGAGUUUUCUACGCGCUUGCUGUUUUUCUUUUUGACAGUAAGGGGGCGGAGCCAGUCACCAUAGUCUCUACACCUGAUUGGUUACAAACCCCGUCUUUGGUCUGGCUGGAGUAAUGCAUUCACACAACUAUAGAAGCCCAUUUCUGCACUAAUGUAAGGGGAUAGAAAGUUGAAAUUAUGAAAUUAUGAGAUAACACGUUGUCAAAAAACACACGCCCCCCUUUGGUAAUCGUAGUGGACUGUAGAUGACAACCAGCUACAACCACAAUUUACCAUCAUUACAGGCACAUUAAGAGCGAGGGAGCAAAUAUCUCGCGCGGGACGGACUUUUGCUCGCGCGAGACAGACUUUUGCUUGCGCGGAGACGGAGAUUUGCUCGCGGAUGUUUGAUUUACCCGCGCGCAUCAACCUGAUUUGCGCUCUUGAAUUUUGACAGUGAUUUGCCGCCAUGGGGGUGUAUUCAUAUUCAGUGAACUGCGAACAGGUGCGUGUGUCAGAAGGGAGCGCGAGAUUCAGUGAAUUACGAACAGGGCUUCGGCAACGAAAACAGACCUGCUGGCCCUGCUUAUCCUGCUCUUGAUUGCCUACUCUAUUGAAGGAACACACCAGAAGGUGACUGAAUACUGUAAUUAUUUCCCAUAGUACAUCAUAACUAUAUUUCCAGGGCUGUUGAGAGCCACCAGCUAAACUCAGGCACUCCAGCAGCACCCGCACUACUAAGGUUGGAAAC
ensembl:lncRNA